rnacentral:rRNA from 1 species
GACGAACGCUGGCGGCGUGCUUAACACAUGCAAGUCGAACGGAAAGGCCCUGCUUUUGUGGGGUGCUCGAGUGGCGAACGGGUGAGUAACACGUGAGUAACCUGCCCUUGACUUUGGGAUAACUUCAGGAAACUGGGGCUAAUACCGGAUAGGAGCUCCUGCUGCAUGGUGGGGGUUGGAAAGUUUCGGCGGUUGGGGAUGGACUCGCGGCUUAUCAGCUUGUUGGCGGGGUAGUGGCUUACCAAGGCUUUGACGGGUAGCCGGCCUGAGAGGGUGACCGGCCACAUUGGGACUGAGAUACGGCCCAGACUCCUACGGGAGGCAGCAGUGGGGAAUAAUGCACAAUGGGCGGAAGCCUGAUGCAGCAACGCCGCGUGCGGGAUGACGGCCUUCGGGUUGUAAACCGCUUUCGCCUGUGACGAAGCGUGAGUGACGGUAAUGGGUAAAGAAGCACCGGCUAACUACGUG